UUCCUCACUUGGUACAUGCAUUUUUAAUUAUAGAAAAUGGUGGAUUAAACUUGGUUUGGUAGCGCUAAACCUCUCAUUUUGUUUACAGUUUCAUCAAAUUCCGUUAUAUUUACAAUGAUGCUUGAUAGUCCAGUCGAUUUGUGAAACAAUUGCUCAGAUUGUGGUAAAAGCAUAAAAUUUUACAGAGUGUUAGUUGAGGUCAUAACUAACAUUUAUAGCUAUGGACCCAAUUCAGAAAAUCAAA
rnacentral:lncRNA from 1 species